AGUGAACGCUGGCGGUAGGCCUAACACAUGCAAGUCGAACGGCAGCACAGUAAGAGCUUGCUCUUACGGGUGGCGAGUGGCGGACGGGUGAGGAAUACAUCGGAAUCUACUUUUUCGUGGGGGAUAACGUAGGGAAACUUACGCUAAUACCGCAUACGACCUACGGGUGAAAGCAGGGGAUCUUCGGACCUUGCGCGAUUGAAUGAGCCGAUGUCGGAUUAGCUAGUUGACGGGGUAAAGGCCCACCAAGGCGACGAUCCGUAGCUGGUCUGAGAGGAUGAUCAGCCACACUGGAACUGAGACACGGUCCAGACUCCUACGGGAGGCAGCAGUGGGGAAUAUUGGACAAUGGGCGCAAGCCUGAUCCAGCCAUACCGCGUGGGUGAAGAAGGCCUUCGGGUUGUAAAGCCCUUUUGUUGGGAAAGAAAAGCAGCAGGUUAAUACCCCGCUGUUCUGACGGUACCCAAAGAAUAAGCACCGGCGAACUUCGU
rnacentral:rRNA from 1 species